UGGGGAAUUUUGGACAAUGGGCGAAAGCCUGAUCCAGCAAUGCCGCGUGUGUGAAGAAGGCCUUCGGGUUGUAAAGCACUUUUGUCCGGAAAGAAAUCCUUGGCUCUAAUACAGUCGGGGGAUGACGGUACCGGAAGAAUAAGCACCGGCUAACUACGUGCCAGCAGCCGCGGUAAUACGUAGGGUGCAAGCGUUAAUCGGAAUUACUGGGCGUAAAGCGUGCGCAGGCGGUUUGCUAAGACCGAUGUGAAAUCCCCGGGCUCAACCUGGGAACUGCAUUGGUGACUGGCAGGCUAGAGUAUGGCAGAGGGGGGUAGAAUUCCACGUGUAGCAGUGAAAUGCGUAGAGAUGUGGAGGAAUACCGAUGGCGAAGGCAGCCCCCUGGGCCAAUACUGACGCUCAUGCACGAAAGCGUGGGGAGCAAACAGGAUUAGAUACCCUGGUAGUCCACGCCCUAAACGAUGUCAGCUAGUUGUUGGGGAUUCAUUUCCUUAGUAACGUAGCUAACGCGUGAAGUUGACCGCCUGGGGAGUACGGUCGCAAGAUUAAAACUCAAAGGAAUUGACGGGGUCAUAGCUGUUUCCU
rnacentral:rRNA from 1 species